CGUAGGGUGCAGGCGUUAAUCGGAAUUACUGGGCGUAAAGCGUGCGCAGGCGGUUUGCUAAGACAGGUGUGAAAUCCCCGGGCUUAACCUGGGAACUGCGCUUGUAACUGGCAAGCUUGAGUGCGGCAGAGGGGGGUGGAAUUCCACGUGUAGCAGUGAAAUGCGUAGAGAUGUGGAGGAACACCGAUGGCGAAGGCAGCCCCCUGGGUCGACACUGACGCUCAUGCACGAAAGCGUGGGGAGCAAACAGGAUUAGAUACCCUGGUAGUCCACGCCCUAAACUAUGUCAACUGGUUGUCGGGGAAGCAAUUCCUUGGUAACGAAGCUAACGCGUGAAGUUGACCGCCUGGGGAGUACGGCCGCAAGGUUA
rnacentral:rRNA from 1 species